UACAGAGGUCUCAAGCGUUGUUCGGAUUCAUUGGGCGUAAAGGGUGUGUAGGUGGCGCCGUAAGUCGGGUGUGAAAUUUCGGAGCUUAGCUCCGAAACUGCAUUCGAUACUGCGGUGCUUGAGGACUGGAGAGGAGACUGGAAUUCAUGGUGUAGCAGUGAAAUGCGUAGAGAUCAUGAGGAAGACCAGUGGCGAAGGCGGGUCUCUGGACAGUUCCUGACACUGAGGCACGAAGGCCAGGGGAGCAAACGGG
rnacentral:rRNA from 1 species